rnacentral:rRNA from 1 species
GACGUACGCUGGCGUCGUGCUUAACACAUGCAAGUCGAGCGGAGCGGCGAACGGGUGAGUAACGCGUGAGUAACUGCCCCCCUCCCUGGGAUAACAGUUCGAAACGGCUGCUAAUACCGGAUAGUGGGGGAUGACUCGCGGCCUAUCAGCUUGUUGGCGGGGUAGUGGCCUACCAAGGCGACGACGGGUAGCCGGCCUGAGAGGGCGACCGGCCACGUUGGGCUGCGGUACGGCCCAAAGUGCUCCGCGAGGCAGGAGUGGGGAAUAUGGCACGAUGGGGGGAACCCUGAUGAAGCAACGCCGGGUGCGGGAUGACGGCCUUCGGGUUGUAAACCGCUUGCAGCCAUGACGCGGUAGUGGCAGAAAAAGCACCGGCUAACUACGUGCCAGCAGCCGCGGUAAUAC